rnacentral:ribozyme from 1 species
CCCGUACAUUGUGACCGGGAAGAUCAUGGAGACCUGUAUUCUGCCGGACUGCAAAUGACUGUAAUUA